rnacentral:lncRNA from 1 species
GUGGUUGCUCUGAUUGUCUUCUGGUAAUUGAUUCCUUUAACUGUUUGAGUAUUUCAUAGAUAUCAAUUUAGUUUCGGUUUGUAUAUUAAUGAUUUUGGUACUUUCGUUAUUACUGUUUUGCUUCAUAGAUUCUUGAAUCUGCAAGUACAGUCAGAAUUAUCUAUCUUCUGAAACUCUAAUAUCUUUGAUAGUUGUCCCU